GACGAACGCUGGCGGCGUGCCUAAUACAUGCAAGUCGAACGCAGUGGGGAUGGGUGAGUAACACGUGGGUAACCUCCCAUCAGAGGGGAUAACACUUGGGAACAGGUGCUAAAACUGAUACUGAAGGAUGCACCCGCGGUGCAUUAGCUAGUUGGUGAGGUAGCGGCUCACCAAGGCCAGUAUGUAUAGCUGUACUGAGAGGUUGAUCGGCCACACUGGGACUGAGACACGGACCAGACUCCUACGGGAGGAAGCAGUAGGGAAUCUGCGACAAUGGACGAAAGUCUGACGGAGCAACGCCGCGUGAGUGAAGAAGGUUUUCGGAUCGUAAAGCUCUGUUGUUAGAGAAGCGGUAUCUAACCAGAAAGCCAAGGCUAACUACGUGCCAGCAGCCGCGGUAAUUC
rnacentral:rRNA from 1 species